rnacentral:lncRNA from 1 species
AAAAUUCGGCCAAAUCUCAUCUUCUCGGCCUAAAUUUUUUUGGGGCCGGAAAUCGUCAAUCAUUUCUCAUUUUGUCGAACAAAUUUUUUCAUUAAAGCACCUUCUCGUUUCAUCCGCCAUCUGGUAUAGUGUCAUCUCCGGUGAUGCUCUUCUUCUCCGACGCCGAUAUGCAGAGGCUUCUAUAUGUUUUCCAUCGAUUUAACAGAUAAGUGAUUUUCUCCUUAAUCCUCUUCAUCCUUUUUGUUUGUUUUGAUUCUUCAUUCUUUUCCUCGUGUUCUUCAUCGAGGAUUUUGUUUGUAAAUCUUAGAAAUAGUUAAAUGAUCUCUCUAUUUUGCAUGUAGUUUCUAUCUAUUUCUUGAAUUAGUCUCUAAAUUGAUGCAUUGUAAAUGAUUUUCUGAUCUGUAAACUGUAAACGGUUCAUGAUCUGUAAAUGGUUGUUGAUCUGUAAAUGGUAUGUGGUUCAUCAUAUGUAAAUCGUUUUUGAUCAUAUGCUCUAAAUAUUUCUAUCUCUUUUAGCUUAAGUUAAUGGUUCAUGAUCUAAAUGGUUCAUGAUCUAAAUUGUUCAUGCUCGGUGAUGGUUCAUGAUGUAAAUGGUUCUUGAUAUAUAGUGAAAGAUAAUAUGGUUAAUGAUUUUUGCAGAUUUAGCUUACUCCAAAGGUCUAUCUCCUGAUGUUCCUCUUCUCUUUGCUCGUAACCAAGGUUCCUCUUCUCUUUGCUCGUUACAAAGGUUAAGGUUAGUCUUCUAGUUUCGUUGAUGACAAUUAAUGCCUAGUUAGAUAUGGAGUGGUUGAAGCUUGAUCAAUGGUGCUUCAGUUUUCAUGGUUUUAAAGGGUUUAAUGAUUUAGGGAAGUGAUUAAUGAAAGCUGAUUCUGUGUUAGAUAUAUGUCAACUCAAUAUAUCUCUUUUUGCGUUAGUGUAGAGUAAUGGCUGAUAUUAGGUUGGUUUAUGAUAAUAAAUGGGGUAUGAACCCUGGAAAACGUUUAUGCUUUUCUUUUAUCAAUGUUCCUUUUCAUUUCCUUCAUUAAUGUUGCAGCGUUGGUUUAUUUCAUAGCUGGUGCUUCCUCUAUUUAUAAACAUAUUUUCUUUCCUUCUUCUUCUCAGUUUGUGCUUGUUUUUUGUUCUGUUUUUGAUUCUCCUUUUUCCUCUUUCCGUAAAAGCUUCUUGCUUCAUCUCUUUCUUCUCAUCUUUUCUUUUAAUCCUUUAACCCAUUCCCAAAACCCAUUCCCAAAAGCGACUUGCCUCAAACUUCUCAUCUUUUCUUCUCAUCUUUUCUUUUAAUCCUUUAACCCAUUCCCAAAAUCCAUUCCCAAAAGCCACUUGCCUCAAACUUCUCAUCUUUUAUUCUCAUCUUUCCUUGUACCAAAUGGCAUUCUCUUCUAUGGGUCCAUCUUUCACCACCCCAAACUUUGUUGAACUGUUGAACAGUCAACAAGAUUCUGUUUUUUGCGGAUAUCCAUCAAGCCUUGUUGAAGAAACUCCUCUGUGUGCUGCAUCCAUCGGUGAAGCAUCACCUGCAACGGAAAAGAAGGAAAGAAGACAGUGGAGCCCGAGUUAUGAUAUUCUUCUCAUUAGCUCGUGGUUAAACACGAGCAAGGAUGCUGUGGUGGGAAAUGAACAGAAGUCAACUGCCUUUUGGAAGCGCAUAGCCAUUUACUUUUCAGAAUCUUCAAAGUGUGUUGGUGAGAAGAUAGAGGCGAUACAAUGCAAACAAAGAUGGCAGAAAAUAAAUGAUCAAGUAUGCAAAUUUUGUGGAGCAUAUGAGGCUGCUUGUAGAGAGAGAUCCAGUGGUCAGAAUGAGAAUGAUAUUCUCAAAAUGGCUCAUGAAAUCUUCUACAACAAUCACAAGAAGAAGUUCACUUUAGAACAUGCUUGGUAUGAGCUCAGGAAUGAUCAGAAAUGGUAUGCUCUUUCAAUAGACAAAGUCGCUGGAAACUCCAAAAAAAGAAGAGUGUUAGAUGGUUCGGGUGUUGAGGAGACCCAGCCUUGGGAUGAAGAUAAUGGCAAGCGACCUGCAGGUGUAAAGGCAUCAAAAGCCAAGGGCAAGAAGUUAGAGGUAGAGAAAGAAGAACCAUUGCUUGCGCUUCAAGCAGUGUGGCAAAUUCAAGAGAAAGACUUGGAAAUGAAGGCAAAAAUCAAGAAGAUGGGUAUACUUGAAUGUCUUUUAGCCAAGCAAGGGCCACUAUCAGACUAUGAGGAAGAUGUUAAGAAGAAACUCAUGACUGAGUUGUUUUAGAAUGGUGUUUAUGUUUAAGCUUAUUUUUUGUUUAUGUUUACCUUAAGUUGGUGUUUGUACUUGCUUAAGUGGGUUAAGUAGUUGAAUGUGGUUGUUACUUUUGUUCUUUAUCUAUGAACUUCAAUGUCUCGGUUAAGUUUAUCUAUGUUUGGUUAAGUUUAUCUAUGUUCGGUUAAGUUUACUUUUGUGCUUGAAUGUCUCGUUUAAGUAAAAUUAUGAUAAUUAACUAAAGAUGAUGAGCUUUAAGUUUGAACUUUAUAUAAAACUUAAUAUGCCAACCUUUUCUUUUAUGUAUGAACUUUGCUCUUGUUGAAUUAUUAUACUAACUCACCCUAUGUUUGUACUUGUACUUUUGUGUUUCAGAUAUGAGAUAUGGUGACAGAUUUCCCACUCGGUGGACAACAAUUAUUGCAUAGGCGUGGCCACAAAACACCAAACGAGUGUCACAAGUCUCUUUUUUUAUUGCCUUGUCUUUUGUUUUUUUGUUCUCAGAAUGAAAAGUACUUAUCUAAUUUUUAGACCACACAUUGUAAAAACAACCACAUGUAUAAGUUAUAGUAGUUUAUUUAUAGAGACUAUCCUGCAAUUGUUGUUUCAUAUACUCAUCAAACUUCUUC